CCAUGGGCCUCUCAUAAUUGACCAAUGCCAAAGAAACUGUAGCCUCGAACCAUUGCCCAGCCCCCCACCUGUGGGCUGUGAUCACUGAAGCAGGUUGUACAGUC
rnacentral:snoRNA from 1 species